ACAUGAAACCCUAAGCAACCACCAUCCCACCCAUAUGGUGCGAUGGCAACAGGAGCCCCUCCCCCUCUCGUGACAUCAUCCUAGCCAAUCAAGUUUCUGGUUGUUAGAUACAUGGAGCUUGCACAGGGAGGAGCAAGUCGUUGUGGGACAUGGAUCGACUUGACUGAUUAUCUGUGAGCACAUAUCUUAGCAUACCGAGCAAACCCAAGGUCGUUAGAUACAUGGAGCUUGCACAGGGAGGAGCAGGUCGUUGUG
rnacentral:lncRNA from 1 species